ACGAAGCUUAUGGAAAAAAAGACCAAAGGCCUCGAGGGAUGUUCUUCUUGACCCCCCGAGGCAAACGGAGGUGUCAGCGUCAGGAGCCAUCCUAACUGAGGCCCUGGUAGGCUCCUUGUUUUCCUUCGGUCGCCGUGGGUGUGCCGGAC